GAAAGAUCUAGAAUCAGGAGCUAGAUGGGAGGCUGCCAAGACUGUCUCUCCUGUCUGCUACUCUGCACAUCUGCUUCCUCCCUAUUCUCUGCGAAUCAGCUUUCUCCGUGCCUCCCUCCGCAAGUGCUGACCUCACUUCAUGGAGAUUCGCUUCAUCUGGUGGCCUCCAGCAGCUCCAGAUCUUCACCAGCAAUUCCAAAGGAACAAGAGCUUCUCCUUCUGGAAAACUCCAAGGAUUGAGUCUUGUUGGAUCAACUCAGAUCUCCUGCCUUCUUUGAGCCAACCACUAUGAGAGAAGGGUAGAAUAAUCUGACAGUUCCAGGCUGGGUUAUUUACCCAGCCCUGGAGCUGGAGCCAGACACGGACGAAGAAUUAGGGAAUUUGGUCCCCCAAGAAAAGUCAAGACACUAUUAAGAGAAGAAAAACGUGGACUGUGGACAGACGAGAACAGAAGGUGGCCCAGUGGUGAACUCGCCAUCUCCUGAGUUGGAACUGAUGACUGUCUUUCAUUUCCGCCCCCAAAUAACCGUGGAGCCUUGGGCAUAUUACUUAACCUCUCAGAGCCUCUGUUUCCCCACUUGUGGAAGUGGGAUAAUUUUUCAUCACAAAUGUUUGCUUUUAAGCUUUUUAUUGUAGAAAUUUUCAAGCACAUUCAAAAGUAGACACAAUAGUAAAAUGAACCCCUGGGUACCUAUCACUCAGCUUCAAUAAUUAUCAACACAUGGCUGACCUUUUUUCAUCUAUAUCCCACUUAUUCUCCCCACACCCUGCUCCUGGAAUAUUUUGAAGCAAAUCCCAGAUAUCACAUCAUUUCAUCCAUAAAUGUUUCAGUAUGUAUCUCUAAAAAAUAGGGACUAUUUUUUUCUCAAACAUAAUCACUAGACAGUCAUCACACCUAAAAUUAUUAACAAUAUUUCCUUAACAUCAUUCAAAAAUUCAGAGUUCAAAUUUCUCUGAAUGUCUCCUGAUUGUCUUUCACUCUUGAUUUAUUUGAAUUAGGAUCAAAUAGCUAUGCCUUGUUCUCAGGAGCUCUAGAGUCAAUGCUAACGAGAGAAGAUUCAUUUUCCUAAAGCACCAUUUAUAUCAUGUUGCUCCAGAUUAGAACCCCUCAGUGAUGGCCCGUUAUCUUGGCCAACUCGUGUAUAUUAGUUUGCCAGGGCCGCACAACAGAGAACAGCCUGGGGGCCUUAAACAACAGAAAUUUACUUUCUCACAAUUCUGGAGGCUACAAGUCUGAGAUCAAGGUGUCGGCAGAGUCGGUUCCUUCUGAGGCCUCCCUCCUUGGCUUGCACAUGGCUGUCUUCCUCUGGUUUCUCCACCUCGCCUUCCCCCAUCUGUGUCUGUGUCCUAAUUUCUCCCUUUCAUAAGGACACCUGUCAUAUUGGAUUAGGGCCCACCCAUAUGACCUCAUUUUACUUUAAUUACCUUUUUAAAGACCCUAUCUCUGAAAACAGUCACAUUCUGAGGUCCUAGGGCUUCAACACAAGAAUGGGACAGGGGCACAUUCAGCCCAUAACAUCAUGGAAAGCUCUGGAGUUAGAAUGACCCUUCCCAAAAUUGUCCCAGUUGGGCCCAAAUGGCCAGGUCUAUAUGGAUCUGUCAUUGGAUGUGGGACUCUCUGGGAAAGAUGUGACUUUGGGAGAGGCCACUCUUUGCAGCUGAGUCAGUCCCCAAGGAGUCUGACAGCUGAAGGUGGUCUGCGGACAGCACCCCAGUAGCUGGGCAGCAGGUCCUUCAUUGAAGGGGGCUCUGGGCAGUGCAUCGCAGGGUCCACCACCAGUGGAUUCUAUUUCUUGCAGCCAAACAAACCUCAAGACAAGGAUGUCAUGAGAGUUAAAUGAGACAAUAAUUCUCAGCUCCCUGAGGACAGGGAGUGUGUGUUGGUCACUGGGUCCCCCAUCAAUGAUAGACACGGCUGGCUGGCCAACCCAUCACUCAUGCCCAACUGCUGCUGCCUUGUCCUCCUCUACCUCGGAGGCAGGAAAAGCUCAAGUCUCAUGUUCUUGGCCUUUCUUCUGGAUAAGGAGAGGUCUGCUGGGUGGGGUUCUAAGAUAGCUGUGACAACAGGGACAGAUGGAACAGAUGCUGCCACCCCCAAUGCAGACACGACAUAUGAACUGAGGCAGCUAUCUUGCACAGCCAGGGGAAGUUCAACAGAACUGCAGGCCGGUGAGAGAAUAAUCGAGAGCUGGUAGCUGCAGACCUCC
rnacentral:lncRNA from 1 species